rnacentral:rRNA from 1 species
UACGAAGGGGGCUAGCGUUGCUCGGAAUUACUGGGCGUAAAGGGCGCGUAGGCGGACAGUUAAGUUGGGGGUGAAAGCCCGGGGCUCAACCUCGGAAUUGCCUUCAAUACUGGCUGUCUUGAGUAUGAGAGAGGUGUGUGGAACUCCGAGUGUAGAGGUGAAAUUCGUAGAUAUUCGGAAGAACACCAGUGGCGAAGGCGACACACUGGGCCAUUACUGACGCUGAGGCGGCGAAAGCGUGG